CGGAACCAGUGGACUGCUUAUGUAGGGUAGUUUUCUGUAUGGCAAUUUAUGUUGAGAAUGUUAGUGGUUAGGUUCGGAGAACUCAAUCAUUAAUUCUGUAGAUAAGUUAGCUAUGAGCAAACAACAAUCUCAGAUGAUGUAAUAAUGUUUGAUGCCUUGUGGUGUCUCGGGAGACUUGAAAUCUCUUUAGCUGAGGGUUGUAGGUUUUCUAAAUAAUCAAACUGAG
rnacentral:misc_RNA from 1 species